rnacentral:rRNA from 1 species
UGUCGCGUCUGCCGUGAAAGUCCGGGGCUCAACUCCGGAUCUGCGGUGGGUACGGGCAGACUAGAGUGAUGUAGGGGAGACUGGAAUUCCUGGUGUAGCGGUGAAAUGCGCAGAUAUCAGGAGGAACACCGAUGGCGAAGGCAGGUCUCUGGGCAUUAACUGACGCUGAGGAGCGAAAGCAUGGGGAGCGAACAGGAUUAGAUACCCUGGUAGUCCAUGCCGUAAACGUUGGGCACUAGGUGUGGGGGACAUUCCACGUUUUCCGCGCCGUAGCUAACGCAUUAAGUGCCCCGCCUGGGGAGUACGGCCGCAAGGCUAAAACUCAAAGGAAUUGACGGGGGCCCGCACAAGCGGCGGAGCAUGCGGAUUAAUUCGAUGCAACGCGAAGAACCUUACCAAGGCUUGACAUGGACCGGACCGCCGCAGAAAUGUGGUUUCCCCUUUGGGGCUGGUUUACAGGUGGUGCAUGGUUGUCGUCAGCUCGUGUCGUGAGAUGUUGGGUUAAGUCCCGCAACGAGCGCAACCCUCGUUCUAUGUUGCCAGCACGUGAUGGUGGGGACUCAUAGGAGACUGCCGGGGUCAACUCGGAGGAAGGUGGGGACGACGUCAAAUCAUCAUGCCCCUUAUGUCUUGGGCUUCACGCAUGCUACAAUGGCCGGUACAAAGGGUUGCGAUACUGUGAGGUGGAGCUAAUCCCAAAAAGCCGGUCUCAGUUCGGAUUGGGGUCUGCAACUCGACCCCAUGAAGUCGGAGUCGCUAGUAAUCGCAGAUCAGCAACGCUGCGGUGAAUACGUUUCCCGGGCCUUGUACACACCGCCCGUCAAGUCACGAAAGUUGGUA